rnacentral:siRNA from 1 species
ACAACGGUUCAAACCGGCGGUGUU